rnacentral:rRNA from 1 species
UGUGACUGCGUACCUUUUGUAUAAUGGGUCAGCGACUUAUAUUCUGUAGCAAGGUUAACCGUAUAGGGGAGCCGAAGGGAAACCGAGUCUUAACCGGGCGUUAAGUUGCAGGGUAUAGACCCGAAACCCGGUGAUCUAGCCAUGGGCAGGUUGAAGGUUGGGUAACACUAACUGGAGGACCGAACCGACUAAUGUUGAAAAAUUAGCGGAUGACCUGUGGCUGGGGGUGAAAGGCCAAUCAAACCGGGAGAUAGCUGGUUCUCCCCGAAAGCUAUUUAGGUAGCGCCUCGUGAAUUCAUCUCCGGGGGUAGAGCACUGUUUCGGCUAGGGGGCCAUCCCGGCUUACCAACCCGAUGCAAACUGCGAAUACCGGAGAAUGUUAUCACGGGAGACACACGGCGGGUGCUAACGUCCGUCGUGAAGAGGGAAACAACCCAGACCGCCAGCUAAGGUCCCAAAGUCAUGGUUAAGUGGGAAACGAUGUGGGAAGGCCCAGACAGCCAGGAUGUUGGCUUAGAAGCAGCCAUCAUUUAAAGAAAGCGUAAUAGCUCACUGGUCGAGUCGGCCUGCGCGGAAGAUGUAACGGGGCUAAACCAUGCACCGAAGCUGCGGCAGCGACACUGUGUGUUGUUGGGUAGGGGAGCGUUCUGUAAGCCUGUGAAGGUGGCCUGUGAGGGUUGCUGGAGGUAUCAGAAGUGCGAAUGCUGACAUAAGUAACGAUAAAGCGGGUGAAAAGCCCGCUCGCCGGAAGACCAAGGGUUCCUGUCCAACGUUAAUCGGGGCAGGGUGAGUCGACCCCUAAGGCGAGGCCGAAAGGCGUAGUCGAUGGGAAACGGGUUAAUAUUCCCGUACUUGGUGUUACUGCGAAGGGGGGACGGAGAAGGCUAUGUUGGCCGGGCGACGGUUGUCCCGGUUUAAGCGUGUAGGUGUGUGUUCCAGGUAAAUCCGGUUCACUUUAACACUGAGGCGUGACGACGAGGCACUACGGUGCUGAAGCAACAAAUGCCCUGCUUCCAGGAAAAGCCUCUAAGCAUCAGGUAACAUCAAAUCGUACCCCAAACCGACACAGGUGGUCAGGUAGAGAAUACCAAGGCGCUUGAGAGAACUCGGGUGAAGGAACUAGGCAAAAUGGUGCCGUAACUUCGGGAGAAGGCACGCUGACACGUAGGUGAAGUGAUUUACUCAUGGAGCUGAAGUCAGUCGAAGAUACCAGCUGGCUGCAACUGUUUAUUAAAAACACAGCACUGUGCAAACACGAAAGUGGACGUAUACGGUGUGACGCCUGCCCGGUGCCGGAAGGUUAAUUGAUGGGGUCAGCGCAAGCGAAGCUCCUGAUCGAAGCCCCGGUAAACGGCGGCCGUAACUAUAACGGUCCUAAGGUAGCGAAAUUCCUUGUCGGGUAAGUUCCGACCUGCACGAAUGGCGUAAUGAUGGCCAGGCUGUCUCCACCCGAGACUCAGUGAAAUUGAACUCGCUGUGAAGAUGCAGUGUACCCGCGGCAAGACGGAAAGACCCCGUGAACCUUUACUAUAGCUUGACACUGAACAUUGAGCCUUGAUGUGUAG